UGCUCCAUCUACAACAGAGGCCUGAGGGGCUCCAAUGUGAGUGGACCAUGGUGUGGAGAUUGAACUUAAUGGACAAUCGUGACCAUCCAACUAGGAGAUCAUGGCCAUCAAAUUCACAGAAGAAAAUUAAUUCAUCAAUGGGUCCAAGUUCAAUGGCUGAUAUCAGAUGUUUAAGAUUGUCACAGUGGAGGCCUAUAGGUUGUUUGGACUGUGGAGACAUCACCAUCUACUUUUGGGGCCGGAUCCAUUAGAAGCUUUGUAGGUUAUGCUUAAUCUACAAUGCAAUAUGUGGGGCCCACCAAAAUCAAAUCCAUCCAUCACAUGCCCCAACAGCAUCUCCUCGAGCCCAAAAACUAGGCUGUCCAAACCUAAGGCCGUUCCAGAGGAAAUUGUUGGGUGUGGGUUCCCACCACUAAAAUCUUCCAAAUUGGAUGUGGGGCCCAGCGUGUUUUCUAUAUGCCAUCCAAUGCAUCCAUUCAGACUUGCACCCCACUAUAAACGGACACCCCAAAAAUUAGGCCGUUCCAAAACUCAAGUUGUCCACAUCAUAUCCAAGUGAGUUUCUUUUGAGUGCCAAGGAGAACAUGAAGAGGUCCAAAGGUAGUUAAUUAGAUUGGAUGUCAUGCACAAAUCAAAAUGGGCCCACACCUAGAAUUGUAGGUCAAACUCAAGCUAAAAAGCUUUGUAGUGGAUCAGCCUACUUUUAAUGAAUGGUGCAAAACACACAUGCUAGAUUAACACUUUUGUUUAUUGCUUUUUCUAUCUGUCCUCCUUGUUCUUUUUAUUAUUAUUUUUCUCACUUUCUAGCCUGUUUCCCAUGAUGUUUAUGAUUUUUAAUUUUUUUUUAAUUGAAGGUCAUUAAUGAAGCUCUCAGAUGUGGGAACAUAGUCAAGUUUGUGCACCGAAAGGCCCUCAAGGAUGUCAGAUUUAAAGAUUAUUCAAUUCCAUGUGGAUGGAAGGUCCUCCUAGUUUUCAGU